GAUGAAGAACGCAGCGAAAUGCGAUACUUGGUGUGAAUUGCAGAAUCCCGUGAACCAUCGAGUCUUUGAACGCAAGUUGCGCCUCAAGCCAUUAGGUUGAGGGCACGUCUGCCUGGGCGUCACAUAUCGUUGCCUGAUGCCAGUUUCCUCGUGAUGGGUGACUGUGCAGGGCGAAUGAUGGCUUCCCGUGAGCAUUGUUGCCUCAUGGUUGGUUGAAAAUUGAGUCCUUGGUAGGGAGCGCCGUGAUAGAUGGUGGUUGAGUGACGAACGAGACCCAAUCAUGUGAGACCCCUACCGAAUUUGGCCUUCAUGACCCACAUGCGUCUUUGGAACGCUCAUGACGAGACCUCAGGUCAGGCGGGGCUACCCGCUGAGUUUAAGCAUAUCAAUAAGCGGGAGGA
rnacentral:misc_RNA from 1 species